rnacentral:lncRNA from 1 species
AGACGCGGAAGAGGACUUGGUGAGCGCGCGGCAGCUUUAUUAAACCACGGGAUAACGGCUGCCCGCAGCCUCCGGAUCGGUGGGCGCUUGCGGAAGGGGACCCGGCUCAGGGCCCAGGGCUGGGACUCAGCCACUCUGACAGGUUGGAGACCUCCUGCAGCCACAGCACGUCCUGCGGGAACAAGGGGGCCCGGGGUGAGGACCUCUCAGCAGCGGCCCGUGGCCUGCACCUCCUGCUGAGCCCUUCCCUGCGCGGCCCUCGCCCAGUUACCUCCAGGCGGCUUCCGAGGCUCGCCCUGCCCGGCGCCAGGGCCCUGCCGUGAGCCUCGCGGUGCUCCCUUCCUCUAGGAGUGAGGGGGGCCGCGGUGGCUUCCGGGCGGCGCGGGGCGGCCUCUGACGGGCUCGGGGCCCUGGCAGAGCGCAGAGCUCGCAUCUCCUCUAUGCGGGGGCUGCCCCUCUUGAGCCUCUUGUUUUCUGCUUGCCCGCUGGUAUCUAGGAGAAAAACAAGCCUCUUCAUCUUACUUUCAUGGCCCUGUGCUAGGAGCACCCUUGGCCAAGGGGAAGCCUGGGAGAACGGGCGCCGAGGGGCUCUUCCCACCGCAUCCCUGUCAGCAGGUCCCAUCCACACCAAAACCCUGCAGCUGUGGGCGCUUCUGGAGCAGCCCGAGGCUGCAGAGACGUUUCAGGGUCUCCCUAUUCUCUCACCCAGGCGGGAGAUUGUCCCGAGCCCUCACUUGGGGGACUCAGGCCGCUCAGUAACUUUCUGUAUAGAUUCUUCCUGGAGUCUGCACUGACAAGCUCCCCUCCCUGCCAGCCUCUGUCCCCCCUCACCUUUCUGGCCUCAGUUCUGUCUCCCUUUGUUGCUCACGUUGCAUUGAGCAGUGCCCAUAGGCAGCUUUCCUACUCUUAACUGAUUCAUUUGUCAAAUUAAAGCGAGUUUAGAUGGAUAGAUUCUUCCCCAGCAGGUCUUGGGGAUGCAGAUCAAUGAGCUUUUCCCUGAGAGAAGCUCACAGAUGCUAGGAGGGGAUGCAGACCUGUGUACAAAGCCCAGGGUUAGAAUAGAGAAGGAAGCCGACCACCUCUGGAUGUGAAGAAGGGUUUCCAUGAGGAGAUACCUGAGCUGACCUUUUGUUUUUUUGAGACAAGGUCUUGCUCUGUUGCCCAGGCUGGAGUGCAGUGGCUCAGUCCUGGCUCACUGCAGCCUCGACCUCCUGGGCUCAAGCGAUCCUACUGCCUCAGCUUCAGCUUCCAGAGUACCAGGAACCACAGGCGCAUGCCACCACACCGGCUAAUUUUUUUUACUUGUAGAGACAGGGGUCUCACCGUGUUGCCCAGGCUAGUCUCAAGCUGUCCUCCCGCCCCAGCUCCCCAAAGUGACGGUAUUACAGGCAUAAGUCACCACUCCUGCCCCAGAGCUGGGUUUUGAAGGAUGAAGAGUGAUAUGCCAGACAAGGGAGAGAAAGGGAAUUUCUUGCUGAAAGUUAACACAAACCUUAUGCAAAGGCAUAAAACAACUUCCUAUGUAAAUUUUUACUUUUUAAAGAUGAGGUCUCGCCUGUCACCUAGGCUGGAGUGCAGUGGCGUGAUUGUAGCUCACUGCAGCUUUGAACUCCCGGCCUCAUCCUCUCGAGUAACUGGGACUAAAGGCACACACCACCUUGCCUGGCUAGAAACAGAUUUUCAUCUGUAGAAGACAGGAAGCCAAUAAAGAGUUUUAAGCACUGGUGAAAUAUAUUGGUAAUUUUGUACUUCAGAAAGAUCGUUCUUUCAAAGGUGUGGCUUAGAUCAAACUAGAGACAGGAAGACCUUAAGAGCCCAAUAACAAGUAAAGACAGUGGAGAUAGAGGCGUCACCAGGAAUCAGAAGUGUUCAUCAGGCCUAAGUGAUAGGCCUUUGUGAGCGCCUGGAUGUGGGAGAGGCCUCUUGGCCGGGCGCGGUGGCUCAUGCCUGUAAUCCCAGCACUUUGGGGGGCCGAGGCGGGCAGAUCACGAGGUCAGGAGAUUGAGACCAGCUUGGCCAACAUGGUGAAACCCCGUCUCUACUAAAAAUACAAAAAUUAGCUGGGCAUGGUGGUGGGCGCCUGUAAUCCCAACUACUCAGAGGCUGAGGCAAGAGAAUCACUUGAACUUGGGAGGCAGGGAGGUUGCAGUGAGCCGAGAUCACGCCACUGCACUCCAGUCUGGGCAACAGAGGGAGACUCUGUCUCAAAAAAAAAAAAAAAAAAAAAAAAUGAGAGGCCUCUUGAAUGAAUCCAAGAUUUCAGAUGUGAUAAAUUGGAUUAAUCAUGAAACAGACUAAAAGUCUCUUUAGUCAGGAGAGAGGAAACUGAGGUACCAAUGGGACCUCCACGAGGAGCUGCCUAGUGAGCAAAUGAAUCUCCCAGCUGGCACUCAGCAGAGGCCUUGGCUGGUCAUACCAAUUUGAGAGUCUUGAGCCCAGAGGCAGUGGUCAACAGUUGGGAUGGAAGAUAGCUGGGUGGGAGAGCAGGAUGAGCACUAUUUAGGCAUGACCAGAGGAAAGUAGAUGAAGAGAAAAGCCCAGGGAGGGAAAAACCAGGCGAGUCAUAGCCUUACAGUGCCAAAUUUUGCACAUAGUUCAGAUACAAUGAAGGUAAAUGCAAAAUUUGGUAAUUAAGAGGCCUUCCCUGAGGAGAGAAGUUUCAGAGGCCACAGAAAAAGCAAGUACCCUAAGUGAGGGAGAGAAUGAGAGGAAGAAAGGGAGACAGGGUGCAUGCAGCUUGUGGUUUUGAGAUCCUUGGCUGAGAUGUGAGGGAGAGAGGUUGAGGAUAAGUGGAGGAAGUUCAAGGUCACGGGAGAUUUUCUUCUGAUGAAAUGAGAGCUUGACCUGCUGAGGGAAAGGAACUCAGGGGAAGGCUGAAGGUGCAGCAGUGAUAACUGAUGCAAGCAGGUCCCAAGAAAGCAGAAGGGACGAUCCCACUGUGAGCCUGGAGGAAAUGGGUCCCCACACUGAUGAGGUUCUGCAGUGGGAGGGUGCAAGUUGGGUGAGUUUACUGAGAAAAGAGAUCCGUAAGUAUGAAGCAGGAGGCAGAGACUGGGUAGAUUUUUUAAAGAAUGGAGUAGCCACUGAGGGACAAAGGCCAGAAAGGCAGGGGGAAGGACUGACAAACCAAAGGCUCCUGAGUGAGUGGACCACCAAUGGAUGGUGGCAUCAACACACAGUUUGGUGAUUUUCUUCAGCAGGGCUGCCCAUGUGAGGCGUAGAAUGGAUGCUGAGAGCCACAGGUCUGUAGGACAGAACAGCCCAAGCCAUCCUCCAGGGGUUCCACCAGAUUAUAAACACCUAGAUUUUAAAGCUCAUGUUGCACACUGGAGAAAACAUGGGCUUUGGAGGCGGCAAACUGAAAGUCAUUACCUCCUGCUAAGCGUUCUGCCUCACCUGAGCCUGGGUCCUCUAGUUUGUUAGGAUCCAUGCCUCCCCCUGCCCCCAGAAGGGCACUGUAAAGACUAAAUGAGAUAAGGCUGUGGAAGACCCCAGCAUCUCCCCAGGGUCCACAGAAGGUACUGAAUUAAAUGUUAAUUUUUUUCCUUGUAUGGGAAGAUACUUAUUCCUUUGUCUCUUCUGACUGCAUAAAUACUGAAUUGUAUGUAUCAUAUUUGCAUUUUUUAAAAUCUCCAGAUCUAAAUUUAUAAAAAUAGAUUCUUUGCUUUGUACAAGCGUUCACAGCAGGGUUCUUUUCAGUAGCAACAGCCCCCACAACAUUUAAAACAUGGUUCAGUUGACAGUGAUUUCAGGGACACAUCUUAGGCCUAAGCAUAAACGCGUAUGUGUUGUGGUUGUGACCCUAGAAAGAGGGAUUUACCAACCAAGCAUAGGUGCUGACGUCACGAUCCCCAGCUUCCCUUGACCCAGAUACUGUUUUAUCUGAAGGACUCAGGAUCUGUAGGAGGGCAUCCCUGCUAAUUCGGCUCUUCCAGAGACAGCAGAGCUAGGCUGCCUGGGUUUGAAUUCUUGCUCUGUCAUUUACUGGCUGUGUAGCCUUGGGUAAGUUUAUUGAUAUCUGUGGGCCUCAAUUUCCUCAUAUGCAAAAUGAGAGUUAAUAACAGUACCUAUAGCUCCUAGGAUAGUUUUGAGAACUAAGAGCAUUAGUACAUUUUAAAAGCUCAGAAUAGUACCUGGCAUCUCUGCUAGUGACUGAAUGUGAGAGCUGCUGUACCCCUGCUGCUGUGGGCUGGGAAGGCUGUUUAAGCACUGCAGGAGACAUGUAUGGAGAAAAGACUUCAGUAUAAUUGCAAUCACAACCCACGCACUGACACUUUCCCAUAACACACAUUAAGAGUGACAUGGUGCCAGGCCGGGCGCGGUGGCUCACGCCUGUAAUCCCAGCACUUUGGGAGGCCAAGGCAGGCGGAUCACAAGGUCAGGAGAUCGAGACCAUCCUGGCUAACACGGUGAAACCCCGUCUCUACUAAAAAUACAAAAAUUUAGCCGGGCGUGAUGGCGGGCGCCUGUGGUCCCAGCUACUCGGGAGGCUGAGGCAGGAGAAUGGUGUGAACCCGGGAGGCGGAGCUUGCAGUGAGCCGAGAUGGCGCCACUGCACUCCAGCCUGGGCGACAGAGGUGAGACUCUGUCUCAAAAAAAUAAAAAUAAAAUAAAAUUCAGGGCCCUGAAUCUGCGUAUUACCUACCCCCACCCCAUCAUGUGCAGCUAUCUGUAACUGCACAGACUUUAAUACAAAUUUCUAGUCCUGUCCUAACAUCUUGGGGAGGGAAGACCUGCUGCUGCCUUGAAGACCCACAGUGGCAGCAACAGCCCACUAAAUUGCAGAAGGACGCCGCUGUAGUAGAAGGUACAGUGGAAUAGUUUGAAAGUUUGAACUCACGUUUUUUACUUCCUCUGCUGCAGUCCAGGGCUCACUUGAAAAGCUAAAACCUUACCUGCUAGGAGCUCCAGGCUGCUGUUAUCAGGUGCGUCCUCAGUGCCCUGGGCUGAGUCCUUUUUUUCUAGGGUUAGCUGCUUAAAAAAAUUAGAAGUCCUAAGUGAGUUUUGUAGAAACAUGAACGAGCCCUAGUGAAACAGGAGUGUGCCUGGUGGCUUCACUGACCUCACAAGGUUAUCUGCCCUCACCUGGAACUCCCUCUUCCUCCUGGCUCAUGAAUCCCCCUACCCACCCUCCAGUCUUCAAGGUUUCCCUCUGUGGAUCCUUCUCCACUCUGGCCAUUCACGGCACAUCCUUUCUUCUCUGAGCUCCAGUCUCUUGGCUACUGCCUGCCCAUUCCUCGGGCUCUGCAUACUCUGCAAGUAUCCUGUGUGCCCAUUCAUCAAGUAAUGUGCAAAUGUCCAUUUUCUACACCCUAAAUCCCUUCAAAGGCAAGGGCCAUCAUGCCUUUAUCACUUUACAGCUAGCAGAGUGCCUUACACCAGGUAAGUUUGACUGAGAAAGUCAAACCUGGGAAGCCACAGGGUAUAUUCUGUAGUCAUCGGUAGCCUCCUAGAGCCCUGCCACACUGGUUAGUUCAAUAAUUUGGACAGAGAAAAAGAGGUUCUUACUGAGACCAGAACCCAAUCCUCCCAGCUCCUUUUCAAGAAUACAGAUGUAUAAAAAUAGGUAUCUUCUUCCUCAAAAUUAAAAAUUCAUAGCCAGGCGCGGUGGCUCAUGCCUGUAAUCCCAGCACUUUGGGAGGCCGAGGCAGGCAGAUCACCUGAGGUAAGGAGUUCGAGACUAGCCUGGCCAACAUGGUGAAACUCCGCCUGUACUAAAAAUACAAAAAUUAGCUGGCUGUGGUGGUGGGCUCCUGUAAUCCCAGCUACUCAGGAGGCUGAGGCAGGAAAAUUGCUUGAACCUGGGAGGUGGAUGUUGCAGUGAGCUGAGAUCACGCCAUUGCACUCCAGUCUGGGUGAUGAGUGAGACUCCAUCUCAAAAAAAAAAAAAAAAAAUUAAAAAUUUGUGCUUCUCGGCCAGGUGCAGUGGCUCAAGCCUGUAAUCCCAGCACUUUGGGAGGCCGAGGCAGGCGGAUCAUGACGUCAGGAGAUUGAAACCAUCCUGGCUAACACAGUGAAACCCCGUCUCUAUUACAAAUACAAAAAAAUUAGCCAGGCGUGGUGGCAGGCGCCUGUAGUCCCAGCUAUGCGGUAGGCUGAGGCAGAAGAAUGGCGUGAACCCAGAAGGCAGAGCUUGCAGUGAGCCAAGAUCACACCACUGCACUCCAGCCUGGGCGACAGAGUGAGACUCUGUCUCAAGAAAAUAAAAAUAAAAUAAAAUUUGUGCUUCCUAUGAACAAAAGUGAAAAGUCAAUCCACAAGAAUGGGAGAAGACAUUUACAAAUCAUACCUGCUAAGGUACUGUUACCCAAAUUAAAGAACUCUUUUUAAAAUUUAUUUAUAGGCCACGCACGGUAGCUCACGCCUAUAAUCCCAGCACUUUGGGAGACUGAGCCAGGCAGAUAAUGAGGUCAGGAGUUUGAGACCAGCCUGACCGACAUGGUGAAACCCCGUCUCUACUGAAAAUACAAAAAUUAGCCAGGCGUGGUGGCGCACACCUGUAAUCCCAGCUACUCAGGAGGCUGAGGCAGGAGAAUCACUUGAACCCGGGAGGUAGAGGUUGCAGUGAGCUGAGAAUGCUCCACUUCACUCCAGCCUGGGUGGCAGGGCAAGACUCCAUCUCAAAAAAAAAAAAAAAAAAUCAUAUUUUCUGUAGUGACGAGGUCUCACUAUGUUGCCCAGGCUGGUCUCAAACUCCUGGGCUCAAGCGAUCCUCCCACCUCCGCCUCCCAAAGUGCUGGGAUUACAAGUGUGAGCCACCUUGCCUGGCCCAAGGUAAAGAACUCUCAUAACUCAAUAAUUUAACAAACCAAUUUAAAAAUGGGCAAAAGAGGGCCAGGCACGGUGGCUCACGUCUGUAAUCCCUACACUUUGGGAGGCCGAGGUGGGCGGAUCACAAAAUCAGGAGAUUGAGACCAUCCUGGCUAACAUUGUGAAACCCCGUCUCCACUAAAAAUACAAAAAAUUAGCCGGGCGUGGUAGUGGGCGCCUGUAAGUCCCAGCUACUUGAGGCAGGAGAAUGGUGUGAAUCCGGGAGGUGGAGCUUGCAGUGAGCCGAGAUAGCGCCACUGCACUCCAGCCUGGGCAACAGAGUGAGACUCCGUCUCAACAACAACAACAACAGCAAAUGGGCAAAAGAUUUGAAUAGACCUUUCUUCAAAGAAGAUAUACAAAUGGCCAAUAAGCACAUGGAAAAGAUACUCAGCAUCAGUAUUCACUAGAGAAAUGCAAAUCAAAACCACGAAAUUACUUCACAUGCACUAGAAUGGCAGUAAGAAAAACAAUGACAACAGUUAAUGAGGGUAUAGAGAAAUUGGAACCAUCACACAGUGCUGGCAGGAAUGUAAAAUGAUGCAGACUGUGGAAAUCAGCUCGAAAGUUCUUUAAAAAGUUAGAACAUAGUGUUAUCAUAUGACUCAGCAAUUCUACUCCUAGAUAUAUACCCAAGACAGUUACAAGCAUGUCCACACAAAUAUGCUGUUCGUAACAGCAUAUUCAUAAUAGCCGAAAAGUGGAAAAAACUUGUGUUCAUCAACUAAUUAAUGGAUAAAAUGUGGUAUAUCAAUACAAUGGAUUAUUAUUCAGCCAUAAAGAAUGGAUGAAAUUGUUAUAUGGUACAACAUAGAUGAGCCUUAGAAACAUGCUAAAUGAAAGAAGGCACAUAAAGGCCCAUGUUGUAUGGUCCCAUCUAUAUGAAGUGUCCAGAAUAGGCAAAUCCACAGAGAUGGGAAGCAUACUAGUGGUUGCCAGGGGUUGAAGGGAGAGGGGAACUGGGACUCACUGCGAAUAGGUACUGCUAAUGGCAUGAUGGAGAUGUUCUGUAAUUUUAGUGGCGAUGGCUGCACAGCACAGUGAAUAUACUUAAAAUCAAUGAGUUUUAUUCUUUAAAGUGGUAAAUUUUAUGGUAUAUGAAUUAUCUCCAUGAGAGAUCUAUCAUAUAUUGUUUACUAAAACAAGUUUUAGUUCCCAAGUAAUUAUAUUCCAAGGAACAUAGGAGGGGCAAAAAUAAUUCUAAAGACAUAAAGAAAGAAACAGGAUAUUUUCUAAAUAUUUUUAUCUUGAGACAGAACUUGGUUUUUUUUUUGGCUUUAGCUUGGAAAAUCUCGUGUCAUAGAUAAAUCUUUCUCCUAUCUUGAAAUUGGUCUUAUCAAGGAACUACCCGCAUUGAGAUAUGAAGCUCUGGGCCUCUCUGGUAGCCUUGCACACCCUUCAUUCAUCACCUGGUCCCCCAGAUAAGACAGCCCUGACCUCAGAAUACACCUUGGAUUUAACAUUCUAUGGGACAUUUAUUUCUAGUCUACCCCCUCCCCCGACCCGCCGGAAACAAUGCCUUUCCUUAGAAAAUUGCCUCCUUGAUACUACUCCUGCUCAUUCUGGGUUUAAGUUCUCAGUCCCUACAUAUAUCUAUGACACUAAACCCUGGAGUACUAUCUUGUUCACUCCUUCCUGGCCCACUGUCUCUGUUCAAACAUUCAGGCUUAAAAUAUCCACUCCUCGCCAGGUGCAGUGAUGCACGCCUGUAGUUCCAGUUACUCAGGAGGCUGACACAGGAGGAUCACUUAAGCCCAGGAGUUCGAGGCUGUAGUGCACCAUGAUCACACCUAUGAAUAGUCACUGCACUCCAGCCCGGGCAACAUAGCGGGAACCUGUUUCUAAAAAAAUAAAAACAAAAAUAAUACCUUCUCCAUUCCUGCAUGACCUUUCCCUGAAUAUGUUCACUCUGAAUACACACUCCCUCAUUUUUUCAGUUUCUCAAUAAAGCAUAUAAUAGAUGGUUUUCUUCCCUGUUACUCAAGAGGUCAGCUAUUCUACCUUUCCUGUUUAGAAAUGGAAACAGAAUGGCCCAGAGGUCAAAGAAUUUGACCUAUCAUCCUUAGUCUUGUAGUUCUAGCUGAAGCCACUGGGUGCCACUCUUGUACCACUAACAAGUUAUUUAUCACUAAAUGGCCAUUACCAGAGGAUGUUGAGUGGAGAAUCAUGGGUUCUACUCAAUGACCUGGAUCACUCAUCUGCCCUGGGCUUGCAACCUAGUCCUCUGUGUUAACAAUAUUACCAGGUUUCAGAGCCGGGAGCUCUCGGUACAAAUUCUAGCCUUGCUAUUUACUGACUGUGAUUCUGGGCAAAUUAUGAAAGUUCUGUAAUCAGUUUCCUCAUCUGUAAAAUGGGAAAACUAUGACCUAAUUUAUAACAUCUUUGCAGAGAUUAAAGUGAAAAUCUCGGCACAGAUUAGGGAUUCAGUAAGUGUUCCUUCUUUCCAAGACCUAUGACUACUGGUAAGACCUUGAGUUCACUAGCCAUAUGCCAAAUUAAUUGGGCUAUGAAUGGCCCUGAGGCUAUGAGCCAUGACUAUAGCAAAAGAACAGGGUAAAAGAGGUCAGAUCUUUUUUUUUUUUUGAGACAGAGUCUUGCUGUGUCACCCAGGCUGGAGUGCAGUGGCAUGAUCUUGGCUCACUGCAACCUCCGCCCCCUAGAUUCAAGCGAUUCUCAUGUCUCACCCUCCUGAGUAGCUGGGACUACAAGGGUGUGCCAACAGGCCUGGCUAAUUUUUUUAUUUUUAGUAGAGACGGAAUUUUGCCAUGUUUGCCAGGCAGGUUUCAAACUCCUGACCUCAAGUGAUCCACCUGCCUUGCCCUCCCAAAGUGCUGAGAUUACAGGAGUGAGCCACCGCACCUGGCCCAGAUUAUCUUUUUUAGGUCUUACUGGGAUACCACAGAGGCCCAAGUAAAAGUACUUCAGAGGCUGAAGCACUCCUAGAUCCUGAGGAGUCCCUCUGCGCUUAUAUCCUGGGUCCUAUGAUAACAGCACAUGCCUUACCCUGAACCUGUCCCUAGAAAGCUGAAGAUGUGGAUGGCUGUAGUGAACUGCAUUCUCCCCCACCCCAAAUAUGUCCAAAUCCUAACCCCCAGAAUUUGUGAAUGUGAGCUUAUUUGAGAAAAGUCUUUGCACAUGUAAUUCCAGAUCGCAAGACAGGAUUAGCCUGGAUUUAGGGUGGGCCCUAAAUCCCUAAUUACCUGCCUGUAAUCCCAGCACUUUGGGAGGCCAAAGCAGCCAGAUCACCUAAGGCUAGGAGUUCGAGACCAGCCUGGCCAACAUGGCAAAACCCCGUCUCUACUAAAAAUACAAAAAUUAGUUGGGCAUGGUGGUAGGCGCCUGUAAUCCCAGCUACUCGGGAGGCUGAGGCAGGAGAAUCACUUGAACCCAGGAGGCGGAGGUUGCAGUGAGCCAAGAUCGUUGCCACUGCACUCCAGUCUGGGCGACAGAGCAAGACUCGGUGUCAAAAAAAAAAAAAAAAAAAAAAAAAGGCAGAAAGAUUUGAGAGACAGGGAGAAAGCAAUGUGAAGAUGGAGUUACAGUUUGGAGUUAUGCAAACUACAAGAAACCAAGGUACAGUUUUUAUCAGAAGCUAGAAGAGGCAAGACAAGGAAGCACUCUCCUCUAGAAACUUUGGAAGGAGUGUGGCCCUGCCAACACCUUGAUUUUGGACUUCUGGCCUCCAGAACUGUGACACAAUAAAUUUGGAUUGUUCUUAAACCUUCAAGUUGAUGUUAAUUUCUGACAGCAUCCCAGGAAACUGAUACAAUGGAUUUUAGCUUUAUUUGCGCAAGGCGUGGACAGCGGCUUUCCAAGUCCGAGGGAAACUGGCAAGAGUAUUUGCGGUGAAGCAGCUGAAAGGAACAGUGGACACGUUCCUGGGAAGUGCAUCGUAGAAGGCACAGCCAGCCAUGGAAGGGGUGGUGAAGGGAGCACUAACGGCUUUACUGCUGCUCUGUGCCUCUCUAAUCACACUGAAGAGGAGGAUGGUAAAGUCCAUAAGAUGCUUUGAUCCUUGGGUGCCUGGGCACCUAAACUUCCCCACCCAAUCAGGAAAGCAGAAGUACAAGGGGCAGAGCAGAUGCAGAGGAGGUACCAAAGGCCCUGUUACUCAUUUUCUCAGAAACAGUGUCCAUAGCGCGGUGGCUCAUGCCUGUAAUCCCAGCACUUUGGGAGGCCGAGGCCGGAGGAUCACGAGGUCAGGAGAUCAAGACCAUCCUGGCCAACACAGUGAAACUCCGUCUUUACUAAAAAUAGAAAAAACAAUUAGUCGGGCAUGGUGGCAGGUGCCUGUAGUCCCAGCUACUCAGGAGGCUGAGGCAGGAGAAUGGUGUGAACCCGGGGGGUGGAGCUUGCAGUGAGCCGAGAUCACGCCACUGCACUCCAGCCUGGGCGACAGAGUGAGACUCCGUCUCAAAAAAAGAAAAAAAAAAGAAAGUGUCCAUACUUGUUAUAACUGUUGAGAUAUAAACUGACAGAGUAAACUGCAUACAUAGAAAAUGUACAAUUUUUUGUUUUUUUUUUUUUUUUUUUUGAGACAGAGUCUCACUCUGUUGCCCAGGCUGGAGUACAGUGGCAUGAUCUCAGCUCGCUGCAACUUCUGCCGCCCGGGUUCAAGCAAUUCUCCUGCCUCAGCCACCCAAGUAGUU